AGAACGAACGCUGGCGGCAUGCCUAAUACAUGCAAGUCGAACGAACUCUUCGGAGUUAGUGGCGCACGGGUGCGUAACGCGUGGGAAUCUGCCCCUUGGUUCGGAAUAACAGUUGGAAACGACUGCUAAUACCGGAUGAUGACGAAAGUCCAAAGAUUUAUCGCCAAGGGAUGAGCCCGCGUAGGAUUAGCUAGUUGGUGAGGUAAAGGCUCACCAAGGCAACGAUCCUUAGCUGGUCUGAGAGGAUGAUCAGCCACACUGGGACUGAGACACGGCCCAGACUCCUACGGGAGCAGCAGUAGGGAAUAUUGGACAAUGGGCGAAAGCCUGAUCCAGCAAUGCCGCGUGAGUGAUGAAGGCCUUAGGGUUGUAAAGUCUACUUUUACCCGAGAUGAUAAUGACAGUAUCGGGAAGAAGUAACGACCCGGCUAAACGUCCGUACGCCGAACG
rnacentral:rRNA from 1 species